CUGUUUCUGGUCUCCCAUCUUGGUGGGGGAUGUGCAGGCUGAGAACACAGGAGCUGACUUCUACUGUACCAGCUGAGAGUGCAGGCUAGACUGCAAGAAGCACCUCCUUGCUGAUGGAGUGGAAUUGGGCGCUCUCUCUCUCUCUGUCUCUGGCUGCACUUCACCAGCUAAGGAGUUGCACUGGCUUCUGCUCUCCUCUCUUGCUCACCCACAUUGUGAGACCACUCUGGCCUUCCACACCCCCAAUACUGUGCCCAUAUAAACCCAAGAGACCUUAAGUGGACACACACACAAGUGUCUGGAUGACAAGAGGAGCAGAGGAGCGGAAGAGCACACCGGCAGACACCAGCAGAUGCUGGCAGGCCAUCCAUGGUGGGGCGACAUGGAUUUCAGCUGGGGGCGGUCGGAGGAAAGUCUGACUGCUGGGAGGUCCAACUCCAGGAGACCACCUUCCCACUCCAUCCUCUUUCUGGCUCCCCAUCCAUCUGCUGAGAGCUACUCCCACCACUCAAUAAAACCUUGCACCCAUCCUCCAAGCCCACAUGUGAUCUGAUUUUUUCUGGUACAUUUGGCCAAGACCUGGGAUACAGAAAGCCCUCUGUCCUUGUGAUAAGGCAGAGGGUCUAACUGAGUUGAUUAACAUGAGCCACCUGCGGAUGGCAAAGCUGAAAGAAUGCACUGUGACACCCACCCAUUGGGGCUUGGGGAGCUGUAAACAACCCUAGACACUGCUGUUGGGAUGGAGCUCAAAAACACUCCCCAUGACCUGCCCAUCUGCAUGCUCCUCCUAGGGGUUUGGACAGCGGAGCACAGAAGAAGGGAGCCACAGCCCUGUGGCACACACGCCCUGCCAGGGGGAUAAGGGAACUUCUCCCACUUCACUAACAGGCACAGUGAGGGAGUGAGGGAGUGAGGAAGUGAAGAGGGAAGGGAGGGAAUCAAUA